GUCAGAAUGUUCGAGUGGACUAGGACGUUGCGUUCAGGUCGCAGUCCACUUCUGUGGGCAUGGGUUCGCAUCCCACUUUUGACA